rnacentral:sRNA from 1 species
AUCAGGCCAUCGUUGAGGCCCAGACGUUCGCGCAGAUUGUCGCGGUCGGUCUGCGUCAUCUGCUCGUUGGCCAUCAUC